AGUGGUUAAGUGAUCGGCUGCUAACUGAAAGGUUGGUGGUUCGAACCCACCAGCCACUC
rnacentral:tRNA from 1 species